AUUCCUCAAGUAUGUUCUCUCGGCUGAGGAACUGCUAAUGGGAUCGAUCGAACCUGAGUCAAGGGAGUGAAUAUAAAAAUAUAUACUCCAUGUUCUCUCGGCUAAGGAACUGCUAAUGGGAUC